AACUGUUUGACUAGUGAUCUUAUUAUAUAUAUAGUUGAAAAGAAGGUGAUUGAAAUUUUUAGUUACUUAAGUAAGAUCUCACUUGAAUAACUUUUUAUUAUAAAUGAUUUUCUUGCACACAUAACAAUUCAUAAUGUGACAUUGACUACUGCUUCUGGACAUCUCAGGCUAUUGAAGAUUUGACUAAGGCUUUAGAGUUUGAAACCAACUCAGCAGAUAUUUUACAUGAGAGAGGAAUUGUGAAUUUCAAAUUUAAAGAGUUUAAUGCUGCCGUCGAAGACCUUUCAGCUUGUGUGCAACUAGACAGGGAUAAUAAGUCUGCCUACACAUAUUUGGGUUUAGCAUUAUCUUCAAUUGGUGAAUAUAAGAAAGUUGAGGAUGCACAUCUAAAAUCACUUCAAAUUGAUAGAAAUUUUCUUGAAGCAUGGGCACACUUGACUCAGGUAUCUAUCAACCUUAUUGUACUGAUAGAUUGUUGGAACAUUUAGUUAUUAACUUAGCUGAAAGCUUUUUCUGAAAAUCCUGAGUCAUCUGUGUGCAUAUUAUUUUAUGGUUUGAAAUGUAAUCUAUUGUAUCAAUGGAUU